rnacentral:rRNA from 1 species
GGGGACGGAGAAGGCUAUGUUGGCCGGGCGACGGUUGUCCCGGUUUAAGCGUGUAGGCUGGUUUUCCAGGCAAAUCCGGAAAACUAAGGCUGAGGCGUGAUGACGAGGCACUACGGUGCUGAAGCAACAAAUGCCCUGCUUCCAGGAAAAGCCUCUAAGCAUCAGGUAACAUCAAAUCGUACCCCAAACCGACACAGGUGGUCAGGUAGAGAAUACCAAGGCGCUUGAGAGAACUCGGGUGAAGGAACUAGGCAAAAUGGUGCCGUAACUUCGGGAGAAGGCACGCUGAUAUGUAGGUGAAGUCCCUCGCGGAUGGAGCUGAAAUCAGUCGAAGAUACCAGCUGGCUGCAACUGUUUAUUAAAAACACAGCACUGUGCAAACACGAAAGUGGACGUAUACGGUGUGACGCCUGCCCGGUGCCGGAAGGUUAAUUGAUGGGGUCAGCGCAAGCGAAGCUCUUGAUCGAAGCCCCGGUAAACGGCGGCCGUAACUAUAACGGUCCUAAGGUAGCGAAAUUCCUUGUCGGGUAAGUUCCGACCUGCACGAAUGGCGUAAUGAUGGCCAGGCUGUCUCCACCCGAGACUCAGUGAAAUUGAACUCGCUGUGAAGAUGCAGUGUACCCGCGGCAAGACGGAAAGACCCCGUGAACCUUUACUAUAGCUUGACACUGAACAUUGAGCCUUGAUGUGUAGGAUAGGUGGGAGGCUUUGAAGUGUGGACGCCAGUCUGCAUGGAGCCGACCUUGAAAUACCACCCUUUAAUGUUUGAUGUUCUAACGUUGACCCGUAAUCCGGGUUGCGGACAGUGUCUGGUGGGUAGUUUGACUGGGGCGGUCUCCUCCUAAAGAGUAACGGAGGAGCACGAAGGUUGGCUAAUCCUGGUCGGACAUCAGGAGGUUAGUGCAAUGGCAUAAGCCAGCUUGACUGCGAGCGUGACGGCGCGAGCAGGUGCGAAAGCAGGUCAUAGUGAUCCGGUGGUUCUGAAUGGAAGGGCCAUCGCUCAACGGAUAAAAGGUACUCCGGGGAUAACAGGCUGAUACCGCCCAAGAGUUCAUAUCGACGGCGGUGUUUGGCACCUCGAUGUCGGCUCAUCACAUCCUGGGGCUGAAGUAGGUCCCAAGGGUAUGGCUGUUCGCCAUUUAAAGUGGUACGCGAGCUGGGUUUAGAACGUCGUGAGACAGUUCGGUCCCUAUCUGCCGUGGGCGCUGGAGAACUGAGGGGGGCUGCUCCUAGUACGAGAGGACCGGAGUGGACGCAUCACUGGUGUUCGGGUUGUCAUGCCAAUGGCACUGCCCGGUAGCUAAAUGCGGAAGAGAUAAGUGCUGAAAGCAUCUAAGCACGAAACUUGCCCCGAGAUGAGUUCUCCCUGACUCCUUGAGAGUCCUGAAGGAACGUUGAAG